ACCAUGCGACGCGUAACAACCAACUCUGAUAGACGACUGUUAUUCAUUUUUGAAGCGAUCGUACUCAGUGCUACGUUCUUUUUUAUUAAGCGAACAGAUUAUGUGAUAAAUUAUUGUUAUUAUUAUUAAAAGUGUUUUGAAAUAUUAACGAACUAUUUACUGACGUUAUUUCUCUUUAAUAUUUAGUUUAAAUCGGUAAUAUAGCAAAAUGGAAUCAUGGAAAAAAAAUGUUUUGCGAUCAUCACCAAUGACAGGUCCAUCAACCGAAGCAAGGGUCUAUCAUCCAGCUACUAAUCUACAGCCACCAGAGCCACCAUUGUCACCGUUGCCACCAUCCAUUCCUAUGCCAGUAGGGACUCUGGAGGCUCCGAAAUUCGCUGGCAUGUUUGUAGCAAAGAAAAAAGAAAACGUCGUUCUGGACCCUAAGGAGAUAAAAACGAGAAUGGCGUAACAACUGCAUUAAAAUUGAAUGUUAAUUUUUUUUAAUACUAAUUAUCGUAAUUUUUGUCAACUCAGCAAUAUGUACUUACCUGUUACAUAGGAUAAUAAUGAUUAUGCUUUCUAUCACGGAAGUAUGGAAAGUGGACCCAGUAUGAUUUCGAGAAGUGAAGAUUUGACCGAAAAAAGCUUUUAAAACGCAUAAAAUUGAGUAAAAAUCUACCUAUAUAAAAAUCAUAACCCUUCCUUUCGGCUUUGCCGUAGUCGUGUAAAAA